GAUGAACGCUGGCGGCGUGCCUAAUACAUGCAAGUCGAGCGAACGGACGAGAAGCUUGCUUCUCUGAUGUUAGCGGCGGACGGGUGAGUAACACGUGGAUAACCUACCUAUAAGACUGGGAUAACUUCGGGAAACCGGAGCUAAUACCGGAUGAUAUUUUGAACCGCAUGGUUCAAAAGUGAAAGACGGUCUUGCUGUCACUUAUAGAUGGAUCCGCGCUGCAUUAGCUAGUUGGUAAGGUAACGGCUUACCAAGGCAACGAUGCAUAGCCGACCUGAGAGGGUGAUCGGCCACACUGGAACUGAGACACGGUCCAGACUCCUACGGGAGGCAGCAGUAGGGAAUCUUCCGCAAUGGGCGAAGGCCUGACGGAGCAACGCCGCGUGAGUGAUGAAGGUCUUCGGAUCGUAAAACUUUGUUAUUAGGGAAGAACAUAUGUGUAAGUAACUGUGCACAUCUUGACGGUACCUAAUCAGAAAGCCACGGCUAACUACGUG
rnacentral:rRNA from 1 species